rnacentral:rRNA from 1 species
GACGAACGCUGGCGGCGUGCUUAACACAUGCAAGUCGAGCGGAGCGGCGAACGGGUGAGUAACGCGUGAGUAACUGCCCCCCUCUCUGGGAUAACAGUUGGAAACGGCUGCUAAUACCGGAUAGUGGGGGAUGACUCGCGUCCUAUCAGCUUGUUGGUGGGGUAGUGGCCUACCAAGGCGACGACGGGUAGCCGGCCUGAGAGGGCGACCGGCCACAUGGGGCUACGAUACGGCCCAAACGGCUACGGUGGGCAGCAGUGGGGAAUAUUGCACAGUGGGGGAGACCCUGAUGCAGCGGCGCCGCGUGCGGAAUGACGGCCUUCUGGUUGUAAACCGCUUUCAGCCAUGACGCGGUAGUGGCAGAAGAAGCACCGGCUAACUACGUGCCAGCAGCCGCGGUAAUAC